UACGUAGGGUGCAAGCGUUAUUCGGAAUUACUGGGCGUAAAGCGUGCGCAGGCGGUGAUGUAAGACAGGUGUGAAAUCCCCGGGCUUAACCUGGGAACUGCAUUUGUGACUGCAUCGCUGGAGUGCGGCAGAGGGGGAUGGAAUUCCGCGUGUAGCAGUGAAAUGCGUAGAUAUGCGGAGGAACACCGAUGGCGAAGGCAAUCCCCUGGGCCUGCACUGACGCUCAUGCACGAAAGCGUGGGGAGCAAACAGG
rnacentral:rRNA from 1 species